rnacentral:rRNA from 1 species
AAGAAAGUAGAAAAGGGCGUACGGGGGAUGCCUAGGCUCUCAGAGGCGAAGAAGGACGUGAUAAGCUGCGAUAAGCUGCGGGGAAGUGCAAAUAACUAUUAAUCCGCAGAUUUCCGAAUGGGACAACCCACUAUGUUGAAGACAUAGUAUCCAGCAAUGGAGGCAAACCCGGGGAACUGAAACAUCUAAGUACCCGGAGGAAGAGAAAACAAAAGUGAUUUCCUAAGUAGUGGCGAGCGAACGGGAAUUAGCCCAAACCAAUGUUGUUUAGGCAACAUUGGGGUUGUAGGACUUGCGUAAUCAAGUGGAUUAGAAGUGGAAUGCUUUGGAAAGAGCAACCAGAGACGGUGAUAGUCCGGUACACGUAAUAAGCCAUGCGAGGCGAGUAUCCUGAGUAGCGCGGGACACGUGAAAUCCUGUGUGAAUCCGGCAGGACCAUCUGCCAAGGCUAAAUACUCCUGAGAGACCGAUAGAGAACCAGUACCGUGAGGGAAAGGUGAAAAGCACUUCGAACAGAAGAGUGAAAAAGUACCUGAAACCGUGCGCCUACAAGCGGUUGGAGCCGAUUUAAUCGGUGACAGCGUGCCUUUUGCAUAAUGAGCCUACGAGUUACUUCUCACUGGCAAGGUUAAGACUUUAAGGGUCGGAGCCGAAGCGAAAGCGAGUCUGAAUAGGGCGCUAUAGUCAGUGGGAGUAGACGCGAAACCGUGUGAUCUACCCUUGGUCAGGUUGAAGCUGUGGUAACACACAGUGGAGGACCGAACCAGUUGACGUUGAAAAGUCUUUGGAUGAACUGAGGGUAGGGGUGAAAGGCCAAUCAAACUCGGAAAUAGCUCGUACUCCCCGAAAUGCAUUUAGGUGCAGCCUAUGAUUAAUCUUACAGAGGUAGAGCUACUGAUAGGACGCGAGGGUUUCAUCGCCUAUCAACUCCUGAUAAACUCCGAAUGCUGUAAGAUGAUGUCAUGGAGUGAGGGCAUGGGUGCUAAGGUCCAUGUCCGAAAGGGAAAGAACCCGGACCAUCAGCUAAGGUCCCCAAAUGUAUGUUAAGUUGACCAAACGCGGUGUUGUUGCUUAGACAGCUAGGAUGUUGGCUUGGAAGCAGCCAUUCAUUUAAAGAGUGCGUAACAGCUCACUAGUCGAGCGACGAUGCAUGGAUAAUAAUCGGGCAUAAACAUACUACCGAAGCUAUGGAUAGUACAUUGUACUGUGGUAGGGGAGCAUUCUAAACUGGGUUGAAGCUGAAGACGUGAGUCACAGUGGACUGUUUAGAAAAGCAAAUGUAGGCAUAAGUAACGAUAAUGGGGGUGAGAAACCUCCACGCCGAAAGACCAAGGUUUCCUGAUCAACGCUAAUCGGAUCAGGGUUAGUCGGGACCUAACGCGAACCCGAAAGGGGUAGUGGAUGGAAAACAGGUUAAUAUUCCUGUACCUGCUAUACACUAAAAGUGACGGAUCGGCCAGGUGCUUGCGUACUGACGGAAUAGUACGCUGAGCCUAGUCUACGGACGAAGCGAAAGUAAGUAACCGGUUCCAAGAAAAGCGAGUAUAGCGGCUCGUACCGUAAACGGACACACGUAGUUGGGUUGAGUAUACUAAGGCGCUCGAGUGAUUCAUGGCUAAGGAACUAGGCAAAUUAGCCCCGUAACUUCGGGAGAAGGGGCGCUCCUCCUAUGGGGGAGCCGCAGAGAAAUGGCCCAGGCGACUGUUUAUCAAAAACACAUGGCUUUGCUAAAUCGAAAGAUGAUGUAUAAGGCCUGACACCUGCCCGGUGCCGGAAGGUUAAGUGGAGAUGUUAGCUUU